rnacentral:rRNA from 1 species
UACGGAGGAUGCGAGCGUUAUCCGGAUUUAUUGGGUUUAAAGGGUGCGUAGGUUGUUUUUUAAGUCAGCGGUGAAAGUUUGUGGCUCAACCAUAAAAUUGCCGUUGAAACUGGAAGACUUGAGUGUGUUUGAGGUAGGCGGAAUGCGUGGUGUAGCGGUGAAAUGCAUAGAUAUCACGCAGAACCCCGAUUGCGAAGGCAGCCUUCCGGCGCCCUACUGACGCUGAGGCACGAAAGUGCGGGGAUCGAACAGG